rnacentral:rRNA from 1 species
GCGGUGGAUGAUGUGGAUUAAUUCGAUGCAACGCGAAAACCUUACCGUACCCUUGACAUGUCCGGAAUCCGAAGAGAUUUGGGAGUGCUCGCAAGAGAACCGGAACACAGGUGCUGCAUGGCUGUCGUCAGCUCGUGUCGUGAGAUGUUGGGUUAAGUCCCGCAACGAGCGCAACCCUUGUCAUUAGUUGCCAUCAUUUGGUUGGGCACUCUAAUGAGACUGCCGGUGACAAACCGGAGGAAGGUGGGGAUGACGUCAAGUCCUCAUGGCCCUUAUGGUAGGGCUUCACACGUCAUACAAUGGUCGGUACAGAGGGUUGCCAACCCGCGAGGGGGAGGCUAAUCCCACAAAGCCGAUCGUAGUCCGGAUCGCAGUCUGCAACUCGACUGCGUGAAGUCGGAAUCGCUAGUAAUCGUGGAUCAGCAUGUCACGGUGAAUACGUUCCCAGGUCUU